rnacentral:rRNA from 1 species
AAGCUAUUUAGGUAGCGCCUCGUGAAUUCAUCUCCGGGGGUAGAGCACUGUUUCGGCAAGGGGGUCAUCCCGACUUACCAACCCGAUGCAAACUGCGAAUACCGGAGAAUGUUAUCACGGGAGACACACGGCGGGUGCUAACGUCCGUCGUGAAGAGGGAAACAACCCAGACCGCCAGCUAAGGUCCCAAAGUCAUGGUUAAGUGGGAAACGAUGUGGGAAGGCCCAGACAGCCAGGAUGUUGGCUUAGAAGCAGCCAUCAUUUAAAGAAAGCGUAAUAGCUCACUGGUCGAGUCGGCCUGCGCGGAAGAUGUAACGGGGCUAAACCAUGCACCGAAGCUGCGGCAGCGACGCUGAUGCGUUGUUGGGUAGGGGAGCGUUCUGUAAGCCUGUGAAGGUGUGCUGUGAGGCAUGCUGGAGGUAUCAGAAGUGCGAAUGCUGACAUAAGUAACGAUAAAGCGGGUGAAAAGCCCGCUCGCCGGAAGACCAAGGGUUCCUGUCCAACGUUAAUCGGGGCAGGGUGAGUCGACCCCUAAGGCGAGGCCGAAAGGCGUAGUCGAUGGGAAACAGGUUAAUAUUCCUGUACUUGGUGUUACUGCGAAGGGGGGACGGAGAAGGCUAUGUUGGCCGGGCGACGGUUGUCCCGGUUUAAGCGUGUAGGCUGGUUUUCCAGGCAAAUCCGGAAAACUAAGGCUGAGGCGUGAUGACGAGGCACUACGGUGCUGAAGCAACAAAUGCCCUGCUUCCAGGAAAAGCCUCUAAGCAUCAGGUAACAUCAAAUCGUACCCCAAACCGACACAGGUGGUCAGGUAGAGAAUACCAAGGCGCUUGAGAGAACUCGGGUGAAGGAACUAGGCAAAAUGGUGCCGUAACUUCGGGAGAAGGCACGCUGAUAUGUAGGUGAAGUCCCUCGCGGAUGGAGCUGAAAUCAGUCGAAGAUACCAGCUGGCUGCAACUGUUUAUUAAAAACACAGCACUGUGCAAACACGAAAGUGGACGUAUACGGUGUGACGCCUGCCCGGUGCCGGAAGGUUAAUUGAUGGGGUCAGCGCAAGCGAAGCUCUUGAUCGAAGCCCCGGUAAACGGCGGCCGUAACUAUAACGGUCCUAAGGUAGCGAAAUUCCUUGUCGGGUAAGUUCCGACCUGCACGAAUGGCGUAAUGAUGGCCAGGCUGUCUCCACCCGAGACUCAGUGAAAUUGAACUCGCUGUGAAGAUGCAGUGUACCCGCGGCAAGACGGAAAGACCCCGUGAACCUUUACUAUAGCUUGACACUGAACAUUGAGCCUUGAUGUGUAGGAUAGGUGGGAGGCUUUGAAGUGUGGACGCCAGUCUGCAUGGAGCCGACCUUGAAAUACCACCCUUUAAUGUUUGAUGUUCUAACGUUGACCCGUAAUCCGGGUUGCGGACAGUGUCUGGUGGGUAGUUUGACUGGGGCGGUCUCCUCCUAAAGAGUAACGGAGGAGCACGAAGGUUGGCUAAUCCUGGUCGGACAUCAGGAGGUUAGUGCAAUGGCAUAAGCCAGCUUGACUGCGAGCGUGACGGCGCGAGCAGGUGCGAAAGCAGGUCAUAGUGAUCCGGUGGUUCUGAAUGGAAGGGCCAUCGCUCAACGGAUAAAAGGUACUCCGGGGAUAACAGGCUGAUACCGCCCAAGAGUUCAUAUCGACGGCGGUGUUUGGCACCUCGAUGUCGGCUCAUCACAUCCUGGGGCUGAAGUAGGUCCCAAGGGUAUGGCUGUUCGCCAUUUAAAGUGGUACGCGAGCUGGGUUUAGAACGUCGUGAGACAGUUCGGUCCCUAUCUGCCGUGGGCGCUGGAGAACUGAGGGGGGCU